ensembl:snRNA U6 U6 spliceosomal RNA
GUAUUCACUUCAGCAGCACAUACACUAAAAUUGGAAUGAUACAGAAAAAAUUAACAUGGCCCCUGCACAAGUCUAAUUCGUAAAACACUCCAUAUUUUU